UUUUUUGUCAGUAGGUUCUCAGUGAAGAACUUAAAUAGAGUAACUUUAAUAAGAGUAAAGUUAUAAUGUAUACACUCAAGCCAAUGUAGUAUUUUAUUUAAUUUGCAUAUUAUGUAAUGUGUAUCUUUGUUCCUAUUUUUUUAUUAACAAUGAUAAAAUAAUGGUUACGUUUUUUCCACUUUUACAUUCCACUUUUUACUUGAGGAGAAAGGAAAUUGUUGAGAUUGAGUCUCCAGUAAAAGAGACGCCAAAGAUGGCCAUCACUCUUCACAGAACGACAAAUCAAUGCAGAGUUUGUUCGCAUCACAAGCAAAAACCUCAAGCCAGAUUUUUUCACAGCACUUGAUCAACAUACAGCUCGAUUUCUGAACAUUUUUGAAACCAAAAAAGGGGCAGCUGGAAAAAGGCUUUCAGAGUUUCUUGAUCAAAUUAAGUUGAAGGGCACUGACAUCACUGCUAAUCACACAGCAGUUCUUCAUGGACUUCCUCUCCUUCUUGGACAAGAAACCUCUGACUUUUUCAAAGCAAC